rnacentral:rRNA from 1 species
CCCUUAGAUGUUCUGGGCCGCACGCGCGCUACACUGAUGCAUUCAACGAGCCUAUCCUUGACCGACAGGUCCGGGUAAUCUUUGAAUCUGCAUCGUGACGGGGAUAGAUUAUUGCAAUUAUUAAUCUUCAACGAGGAAUGCCUAGUAGGCGCAAGUCAUCAGCUUGCGUCGAUUACGUCCCUGCCCUUUGUACACACCGCCCGUCGCUCCUACCGAUUGGGUGUGCUGGUGAAAUGUUCGGAUCGGCCGUUUGUCCCGGUUUCCGCGUCAUGUGGCUGAGAAGUUCAUUAAACCCUCCCACCUAGAGGAAGGAGAAGUCGUAACA